AAUAUUGGACAAUGGGGGCAACAUUGUUCUCGCAAUGUCGCGUGUGAAAAGAAGGAAUUCUAUUUGUAAAGCACUUUACUUUGUUAGGACGGGCUUUAGGUUAAUACCCUGAAGUCUUGACGUUAUCCAAAGAAUAAGCACUGGACAACUCUACGUCAGCCGCCGCGGUAAUACAGCGGGUGCAAGCGUUAAGCGGAAUUACUGGGUGUAAAGCGCGCGUUGGUGGUUCAGUAAGAUGGGUGUGAAAUCCCCGGGCUUAACCUGUGAACUGCUUUCAUACCUGCUGAGUUAAAGUACGAUAGGGGGUAGUGGAAUUUCCGGUGUAACGGUGAAAUGCGUAAAUAUAGGAAGGAACACCAGUGGCGAAGGAGACUACCUGGACUGAUACUGACACUGGGGUGCGAAAGCGUGGGGAUCAAA
rnacentral:rRNA from 1 species